GUGGGAGCGUGUGGCGGCGGCUGGGGCAUGCGGGGCGCCCGCCGUCCCCCGGCGCCGCGGAGCAGACCGGGCCGCUCGCCAUGGCCUUGGACCUGGACGAGCGGCUGCGGCAGAGCAACGCCCGCUUCGUCGCCUCCAUCCAACGCAUCUUGGAUCGGUAUAAUCAUCCUUUUGAAGAUGAUUUACUUGUUUCCAUGGAAACUCUCACUUACGAUACACCUGAUGGAAUAAAACAAUGGGGGCAAGUGUCAACCAAGAAGAUAAAUAACUGGAAGAAGGAAUUAUUUAAGUGGAAUAGAGGAAGCCAAAGGAAUGCAGAAAUCUCAAAGGAACAGACCAGUGAUUUUGAAGACGAACAUCCAACAGUAUGUCAGGAAUUUCCUGAGAACUCCCAUGUGGAUACAUCUGACAUAGGUGAAGAAAGUGAUGCCGAUAUAGUUUCAGUAAGAAGAAAAUUUGAAGACAUUCACUUCCAGAAUCCGAAUGCAGAUGAUGGGAAAAAUCAAGAGAAAGUAAAAGUUCAAGUGGAUGUGAUAGUACAAGACAAUGCUAGAAAUAUUCCCAAGUGGAUUGCGAUAGCACCUCAACGCUCAUCAGAAGGUCUUCAUUUAGCUUCACCAGUGCAAGAACUGAUCGGCAACCAAGCUGCCAUUAACGGAAAUAAUGUAGAGUUUUCAAAUGAAUGUUCUUCCAGAUCUCUAUGGUUACAGUUUUCUAGUGUUCCCGUUUCACCAAAUACAGUAACCAUACCCAGGCAUCUGCCUUCUCCAGAACUGAAUAAAAGUUGCUGGGAUAGUGUCUUGGAGGAGUACCAGUCUGCAGACGAGGAAUGCUCCUGGAGCAAUGUAACUCUUGCAGACUUGUAUCCAGCGAUGGUAAAGAUACUUACAAGGCUUAUGACAAAGCAGUCUCGGAGAAAAGAGUUAAAAUAUGUGUUUGGAUGCUUAAGGCACAAAAGAUGGCAUUCUAGAAGACCAAAGCUCAAUGUCACUGUAGACAAAAUAAGAGGGUUCAGACCUCUUAAUCUGAAGCAAGCACAAUCCAACAUAUGUAGCAAUAGAAGUGAAGACAUCCAGAAUGAAACUUUUGGAAAUGAGAACAGAGAACUCUGUGAUGACGAGUGUUCCAAUAACAAUUUAUCAGGUCUGGUACCUUAUUCUUGCAUUGAUACAAAUGAAAUCAAAGCAGACUACUCUGACUCAAGUUCAAAACACCAUUUGGCAUCUGGAAAAGGCCAGAGAGUUUCCAAACAGACCCAUUUUCCUAAUGUUAUGGCUAGAAUGGGAGAGACCUUUCUAGUUGAAGAUGAGUUACAGACUACUGUCUUGCUGAAGAAUUCAAAAUGCAAAGAAGGUGAAAAAUUAGCUUACAAAUCAGAACAUUGUUUUAUAACAUCUACUGCCAGUUCAGGGUCAACAGCACUUCACCUGGUAAAAGAAAGUAAAACUCAAAAAACUAACUUUCCUUAUGGUAAUACCUUAGGGCUGUGUUCGUCUGCUUGCAGUUCCUAUGGCAACAGUAACACUUUUGCACCAGUCACAAACUGUUCCCUUGCAAGAGCAUCAAAUACUUUGCUAGUAAAUCCUGAAAACCGAACUUCUGAAAGACUAACUUCUUUCCAGCGCAAGCUCUCGUUUUCCUCACUGCCUAUGGAGCAGAGUACUUCAAACGUGCCCCAGAAAUAUGAAGACGCAUUUGAAAAACUCUACUACAAACUGUGUUCCAAAGAAAUCCAAAAGCCUUUGACAUCGACAAGACCUCUUUCAAAUUCACAAAACCUUGAAGAGAAAGGAAGAUUAGUGAAGAGUAAUUUAAGUAAUUCUGUGAGCUUUGAUACGCAUUAUGAUAGAGAAUUUGACAGGAUCUAUGAGCAGUUGUGUAGGGAGCCUGUUCCAAAAGUUCCUGGGUUUCAGAGAGCUUCAAAUUUAAGGAAAUAUGAAGGAAUACAGAUGUCUGAAACUGUAAAUGCUCUUGUAAACUCACCUGUUCGAACUUUAUUUGCAAUUCCCAGAGUUAAAAGACUAGGAAAUUUUCAAAAUGAUCUUCUUUGUUCACCAGUAAAGCGACUGAAAAAUAUCCCAGAACAUUAUUCUCCUUCAGCAAAAUGUCAACAAGUUUCUCACAGAAACGUCAAUCUUCAGACAGUUGGCAUGGAUUUUUUGAACACAUACAAUGACAAUAGCCCCAGGUUUUUUGACAGUCACAACUGUCAGAGUCAGGACUCUGGCUUUCAUGACUCUUCAGAUAAAAUCACUCUUAGUAUUCCUGGAACUUCCCUGCAAGAAUCUGGGAUUGCAGAUGUCCACUCUGGUUGGCGUGGGGCAAUGAAGAAUUGCAACUAUCCCAGAAAAGCCUCGAAGUGUCACCAAAGGUAUGGAGGUUGUAGCUUACACGCAUACUUCUAGAAUGAAAAUCAGCAUGGAUGCUUGGGAGAGCCCAAGCUAAUCAAACGUGGAUUGAAUUUGAACACUGGAAGGGUAUACAGAAAACUAAGCUACACUGAUGGCAAAGACCAAAAUCCUAGCAAUCCCUUGGGCGACUGCCUGGUCAAAACUCACCAAGGAGCAUUCAUGGACUGCUGCAGAGAAAACGUGUUAUAAAGUUUGGUUUGUUUUGGUUAUCUUUCUUCCUCCAAGAAUCAAGGCCGUGUUAUACAUAUAUUUAAUCCCAGUUUAUUUCCCUGUAAUAAAAUCUUCAGGAACUGGUUUAUCUGUUCUGACGGGGUACUGCUUACUCCUUUGGCUUCAUCAGGUAUUGCAGGGAAUCAGGGUUCCUUUCUAUAGCUAAGUUUAAAUUAUGUAUUUACUAGUGCUUAUAAUAACAGAAUAUGAUCUAUAUUAUCUUUUAUCUGCUAAUUAGCUUUGAUUCUUAACAUAUUGUUAACAAGCCCUUUCUGCCGAACUCCUGCCUAUUCCUGCUUUAUAGAUGCGUCAGUACUAAAUAGAUGAAAACAUCUAAACUGGGCUUGGAUGAUCCAAAUGCAGUAUUAUAUUCUGUGAUUUAUAAUAUUCCUGCUAUGUAAUUUUAAUGUUACAUUUUCUAAGUAACUCACCAGAGUUGAUUCUUAAAUAAAAUUUUAUCUUUUUUUAGUGGA